GGGCAAGAGGCUGGUAGCAAAUCGUACCUUGAAUUUUGUCUAUCGUGUUAGCAAGCUGCUAACACGGCCCAUCUCCCCUCUUGAACCCCUACUAGAAACCUCAUCCAUGUUGCCGAGCAUCUGGCAGGUUUGGACGAGGUCCAUCAUGGUGGUUUGUAUCAUUUUUCUGGCGCUUGUAAUGAUCUGCAGUGGCGACAAAGGUCAGGAUUCAGGCGGACCGUAUGAAACUGGUCCUCCGAGACCUCACUCUCCGUACUUGCACUACCCAGCAAGGCCAUAAAUAUCCCGGUGGAGAAAUCACCAGGUGGUGUUGUGUCAGCAUCAAGGGGUGCACAGGUGUUUAUUGGGGCCCUUUUGCAUAUGAUGACGCGGGACACGUGAAGAGCUGAUACUCAAUUACGUACGCCCGUAAAGGAAAAAGACGUUAUAUAUAAUAAUAAGCUUACAAAUAGUUAAUAGUAAAAUAACGGCCUUUUUUUUCUUUCUCCCGGUUAGUGUGAGAUAGUAACUCACAAAAUAUAUUCAUUUCAAGCUUUCUUUUUCUUUUGAAAGCAGCUUUGAAGCUUUCUUGUAUCACCCAAAGUGGAAACUUAUGUAUAUGACAUAAAACUUUCAGGUAUUCUUCUCAAAAAAAAAAACUUUAAGGU